rnacentral:snRNA from 1 species
GUGCUUGCUCCGGCAGCUCAGACACUGACACUGGACCGACGCAGAGAAGGGUAGACAGGCCCCCGUGCAAGGAUGACACGGAAACUUGUGAAGGUUCCGUAUUUGA